rnacentral:ncRNA from 1 species
CUCAGAAAAAGGCAAACUCAUCUGAAAAGAGAGGACGCAAAGCCACAGAUCUAAGGUGUUAAGAGCUAAGAUGGCUGGGCUAUCUGG